rnacentral:lncRNA from 1 species
AAUUUGCAGACUUGACACUAAAUUGACACGGGAGUACAAACUGAAACUGAACUGAAUUGACAUGAGUAAUAAAUUCUGACCAUGCAGUAAUGACCAAAUGCUGUUCAGAAUGUCAAGGAGUACAAACUGGAAGGAGUAAUGCUGAAUAAAAUUCUGUAACAAUGUUGUACAAAUCCUGAACAAACUGAAACUGUAUACGAUUCAAUUUUCAAACUAAAUUCAGUUUAGUCAUGAUCAUGCUUUGGAACUAAAUUGAAACUGAACUUGCUGUGUAACCCUAAAUGGACUCCAGAAACAGGAGUAAACUUGAGCAUAAUGAAGAGUGGAAAUGACCAAAUGAACUUGUACUCCUAAAUUCCUUUUUUUAUAUAUAAAGAGAGCAUGGUAGAAUGUGAAGGUGUGGCAGGACAACUGGAUACCAAGGAGUGGUAGCAAAAUUCCCCCACUGCUCUAAAAAAAAUCUCCAGUUUGGCCACCUGCUUGUGUCGAGUCAAGAAAAGCUCUAACGAGCACACGCAGUGGAAGAAGCAGAAGGAACACAUAUAUAUGCACGAAUGCAGUGAUUUCUUAGACUAGUAAAAAGGAUAUCCUCCAAGCUCUAGCAACUGCUUUGUCUCUGCCAUCAGAUCCUCCAUAAAAACUCUCUUUGCCCCGACAUCAG